rnacentral:rRNA from 1 species
AUGAACGCUAGCUACAGGCUUAACACAUGCAAGUCGAGGGGCAGCAUGGUCUUAGCUUGCUAAGGCCGAUGGCGACCGGCGCACGGGUGAGUAACACGUAUCCAACCUGCCGUCUACUCUUGGACAGCCUUCUGAAAGGAAGAUUAAUACAAGAUGGCAUCAUGAGUCCGCAUGUUCACAUGAUUAAAGGUAUUCCGGUAGACGAUGGGGAUGCGUUCCAUUAGAUAGUAGGCGGGGUAACGGCCCACCUAGUCUUCGAUGGAUAGGGGUUCUGAGAGGAAGGUCCCCCACAUUGGAACUGAGACACGGUCCAAACUCCUACGGGAGGCAGCAGUGAGGAAUAUUGGUCAAUGGGCGAGAGCCUGAACCAGCCAAGUAGCGUGAAGGAUGACUGCCCUAUGGGUUGUAAACUUCUUUUAUAAAGGAAUAAAGUCGGGUAUGGAUACCCGUUUGCAUGUACUUUAUGAAUAAGGAUCGGCUAACUCCGUGCCAGCAGCCGCGGUAAUACGGAGGAUCCGAGCGUUAUCCGGAUUUAUUGGGUUUAAAGGGAGCGUAGAUGGAUGUUUAAGUCAGUUGUGAAAGUUUGCGGCUCAACCGUAAAAUUGCAGUUGAUACUGGAUAUCUUGAGUGCAGUUGAGGCAGGCGGAAUUCGUGGUGUAGCGGUGAAAUGCUUAGAUAUCACGAAGAACUCCGAUUGCGAAGGCAGCCUGCUAAGCUGCAACUGACAUUGAGGCUCGAAGGUGUGGGUAUCAAACAGGAUUAGAUACCCUGGUAGUCCACACGGUAAACGAUGAAUACUCGCUGUUUGCGAUAUACAGCAAGCGGCCAAGCGAAAGCGUUAAGUAUUCCACCUGGGGAGUACGUUCGCAAGAAUGAAACUCAAAGGAAUUGACGGGGACCCGCACAAGCAGUGGAGUAUGUGGUUUAAUUCGAAGCAACGCGAAGAACCUUACCAGGUCUUGACAUCCCGAUGCUAUUUCUAGAGAUAGAAAGUUACUUCGGUACAUCGGUGACAGGUGGUGCAUGGUUGUCGUCAGCUCGUGCCGUGAGGUGUCGGCUUAAGUGCCAUAACGAGCGCAACCCUUGUUGUCAGUUACUAACAGGUUCCGCUGAGGACUCUGACAAGACUGCCAUCGUAAGAUGUGAGGAAGGUGGGGAUGACGUCAAAUCAGCACGGCCCUUACGUCCGGGGCUACACACGUGUUACAAUGGGGGGUACAGAGGGCCGCUACCACGCGAGUGGAUGCCAAUCCCCAAAACCUCUCUCAGUUCGGACUGGAGUCUGCAACCCGACUCCACGAAGCUGGAUUCGCUAGUAAUCGCGCAUCAGCCACGGCGCGGUGAAUACGUUCCCGGGCCUUGUACACACCGCCCGUCAAGCCAUGGGAGCCGGGGGUACCUGAAGUGCGUAACCGCGAGGAGCGCCCUAGGGUAAAACUGGUGACUGGGGCU